rnacentral:rRNA from 1 species
ACUCCUACGGGAGGCAGCAGUGGGGAAUAUUGCACAAUGGGCGCAAGCCUGAUGCAGCCAUGCCGCGUGUGUGAAGAAGGCCUUCGGGUUGUAAAGCACUUUCAGUCGUGAGGAAGGUAGUGUAGUUAAUAGCUGCAUUAUUUGACGUUAGCGACAGAAGAAGCACCGGCUAACUCCGUGCCAGCAGCCGCGGUAAUACGGAGGGUGCGAGCGUUAAUCGGAAUUACUGGGCGUAAAGCGCAUGCAGGUGGUUUGUUAAGUCAGAUGUGAAAGCCCGGGGCUCAACCUCGGAAUAGCAUUUGAAACUGGCAGACUAGAGUACUGUAGAGGGGGUAGAAUUUCAGGUGUAGCGGUGAAAUGCGUAGAGAUCUGAAGGAAUACCAGUGGCGAAGGCGGCCCCCUGGACAAAGACUGACGCUCAGAUGCGAAAGCGUGGGGAGCAAACAGGAUUAGAUACCCUGGUAGACUGUCA